CAGUCGCCGCGGGAAUACGGAGGGGGCUAGCGUUGUUCGGAAUUACUGGGCGUAAAGCGCACGUAGGCGGCUUGGUAAGUUAGAGGUGAAAGCCCGGAGCUCAACUCCGGAAUUGCCUUUAAGAUUGCCGAGCUAGUAGGUGAGAGAGGUAAGUGGAAUUCUGAGUGUAGAGGUGAAAUUCGUAGAUAUUCGGAAGAACACCAGUGGCGAAGGCGGCUUACUGGCUCAUUCUAGACGCUGAGGUGCGAAAGCGUGGGGAGCAAACGGGAUUAGAUACCCGCGUAGUCCCUGUCUCUUAUAC
rnacentral:rRNA from 1 species